rnacentral:rRNA from 1 species
CCUACGGGUGGCAGCAGUGAGGAAUAUUGGUCAAUGGGCGAGAGCCUGAACCAGCCAAGUCGCGUGAAGGAUGACGGCCCUACGGGUUGUAAACUUCUUUUGUCAGGGAGCAAUUGGGUCCACGCGUGGGCUUAGCGAGAGUACCUGAAGAAAAAGCAUCGGCUAACUCCGUGCCAGCAGCCGCGGUAAUACGGAAGGUCCGGGCGUUAUCCGGAUUUAUUGGGUUUAAAGGGAGCGUAGGCCGGUCUUUAAGCGUGCCGUGAAAUUUUGUGGCUCAACCAUGAGAGUGCGGCGCGAACUGGAGACCUUGAGUGCGCGGAAGGCAGGCGGAAUUCGUGGUGUAGCGGUGAAAUGCUUAGAUAUCACGAAGAACUCCGAUUGCGAAGGCAGCCUACUAAACUGCCACUGACAUUGAUGCUCGAAAGUGUGGGUAUCAAACAGGAUUAGAUACCCCUGUAGUC